AUUGGGCCCCAAAAAAUCCAAAACCUCUCCCUCGUUCCCUAUCUCCUUAGCUUUUCCUAAAAAUCGAGAAACUGAAAUCGACGAUUGUCUCUCCUCCAUUACUCUGCAUCCGUCAAACCUCUCCAUCAAUCCCCUAUUAUUGAACACGUCCACCACUUCAUCUGAUUGGUCAUUGGUGCACAAGGUUGGGCGUCACUUCACGUUGUGUCCUCCUCGAGAAUUCAGAUUUCUGACUAAAGCAUGAAUCAUCUGAUUAGGUAUUUAUAUGUGCAGCUGACUCAACACCAAAAAAUUUUGCAACUCCUUCUCACUCUGUUUAUUAACACUGUAUACAUUGUGAUAUGGUUAUAAAGGAGAAGUUGGCAAUCGGUAAUGCAUAAAAUACAACAGUGAGGGACGUUGUAUUAUCUCUCUGGUGGUCUCUUUAAUUCCAUUGAAAAACUUCCCUAAUAAGGCACGAGCAUCUAUUUUCAUUUGUAAAUUAUAGUUAUUUCAGUAUCACAUAUCAACUGCUUGAUGAUUUUCCCAAAUGAAAAUUAGAUCACUAAAAAUGAGGUGUUGGUCAAACUUAGUACUAUGUUCCACCUAUUUAACCAAUUAUAACAUUACUCUAUGAUUUGUUUUUUGGAGAACUAAUCAUUUAUGGCAUAUCACUCAUCUCUUACCACCACCACCACCAUCACCACGAGAAGAUCCAAACUCUUCAAUCAGUUUGAUGAUUAACAACAUUGACAGCAAUGAGAAAUCUUUCUAUUUAGGUUAUCAUGAGAAUCAUCAAAGCAAGUACAAUACCCCUAUGGAAUGCCACUACCCUACAACAUAUGUGAAAGAACCGAUGCUAAUGUUUGGAAGUGGUGGUGAGGGUCAUGAAGUAUGCACAACUGGUUCUUCCUCUAAAGCAGGGAGUUCUUUGAGUCAAACUAGCUAUGAAAAUUUUAGUAAAGAUCAUUAUCACAAGAAACAACAACAUCAGAUCAAACAAGAAGAAUUUACUCUUCAGGUUUUUAAAGAUCACAACCAGAGUUUCAUCAAUAACCAUGACUACAGUGAUCAGAAACAAAAAGUGUAUAAUUUAAAUAACUUUGAAAGUGGUCUUAAGGAAGUGAAGUAACUCAUUGGUGACACAAACAGCAGCAGCAACAUUAGUUGCCUGUUCCAUGAUGAUGACGAAUACAAGACAACAGAUGGUCGUAGGGAGAUAUGUUAUCGUUACCAAUGGGUACAAUUGUAAUUAAGGGAAAAGAAACAGAAAAGAGAGUUUAAGAUAGUUUUUGGGGUUUGUUCUGAUUGUAAUAGAACUCGAUGUAAAAAAUCACAAAAAGAAAGAAAGUUCGUUCUUUGUUUUCAA